GAUGAACGCUAGCGGCAGGCUUAAUACAUGCAAGUCGUGGGGCAGCAUGAAGUAGCAAUACUUUGAUGGCGACCGGCAAACGGGUGCGGAACACGUACACAACCUUCCUUUUAGUGGGGAAUAGCCCAGAGAAAUUUGGAUUAAUACCCCGUAACAUAGCGAUGUGGCAUCACAUUGCUAUUAUAGCUUCGGCGCUAGAUGAUGGGUGUGCGUAUGAUUAGAUAGUUGGCGAGGUAACGGCUCACCAAGUCUACGAUCAUUAGCUGAUGUGAGAGCAUGAUCAGCCACACGGGCACUGAGACACGGGCCCGACUCCUAUGGGAGGCAGCAGUAAGGAAUAUUGGUCAAUGGACGAAAGUCUGAACCAGCCAUGCCGCGUGAAGGAUUAAGGUCCUCUGGAUUGUAAACUUCUUUUAUAUGGGACGAAAAAAGGUCUUUCUAGAUCACUUGACGGUACCAUAUGAAUAAGCACCGGCUAACUCCGUGCCAGCAGCCGCGGUAAGAC
rnacentral:rRNA from 1 species